rnacentral:rRNA from 1 species
CAGUCGCCGCGGUAAUACGAAGGGGGCUAGCGUUGUUCGGAAUUACUGGGCGUAAAGGGCGCGUAGGCGGCCAUUCAAGUUAGAUGUGAAAGCCCUGGGCUCAACCUAGGAAUUGCAUUUGAUACUGUUUGGCUUGAGUUCGGGAGAGGUGAGUGGAAUUCCCAGUGUAGAGGUGAAAUUCGUAGAUAUUGGGAAGAACACCAGUGGCGAAGGCGGCGACCUGGUCCUUGACUGACGCAGAGGCGCGAAAGCGUGGGGAGCAAACAGGAUUAGAUACCCGUGUAGUCCCUGUCUCUUAUAC